rnacentral:rRNA from 1 species
AUACGGAGGGUGCAAGCGUUAUCCGGAUUUAUUGGGUUUAAAGGGUGCGUAGGCGGUUUGAUAAGUCAGCGGUGAAAUAUUUCAGCUUAACUGGAAGGGUGCCGUUGAUACUGUCGAGCUUGAAUUUAGUUGCUGUGGGUGGAAUGUGGGGUGUAGCGGGGAAAUGCAUAGAUAUCACACAGAAUAUCGAUUGCGAAGGCAGCUCACAAAGCUAAUAUUGACGCUGAUGCACGAAAGUGUGGGGAUCAAACAGGAUUAGAUACCCUGGUAGUCCACACUGUAAACGAUGAUAACUCGCUGUCGGCGAUACAUAGUCGGUGGCCAAGCGAAAGCGAUAAGUUAUCCACCAGGGGAGUACGACCGCAAGGUUGAAACUCAAAGGAAUUGACGGGG